UAAGUAACUAAUGUUUAUUUUCUUUUAUAAUUUAGCAUGUAUCAUGUUUUUUACAGGAACCGGUGAAUCAUAGCAACCACCACAGCAAUGCAAACUCUACUCAUAAAUUCUAGUAAUCAUUUCUCAGGAGUUUUGGAGUUUCGACGAGGAGGUACUCGACCCUAUAUCAAAUCAGCAGACAGCAGCCAUCGCAAGGCCCAACGCAACUCACAGCCCAUGUACGUUCCCCCUGCACAACGGAAAGACUAGACUCACAUGUACAUAGCCUCGCUGUUGUUAGUCUAGUACUCGUAUACUUAUUGUUUUGUACGCAGCUCAGUAUCAGAGUUGGUAUACUCCCCAUCUUGAGACUGACCAAGUCACUUUGUCUACUUCAUUAUAAAUUUAAGUGAUAUUCUUUAUGCCCAUGUAUCAUACUACUCAUCUUUGGUGAAAUAAUUGUUUUUUAUUGAGUAAUAGAUGUAAAAGUUAAGAGUUAAUAAAAUGUGAGCUUAUGAUGAACUUUUGUAUUUACACUUUUAAGUAUUUUUUGUUUUAUAUAUUUGUGUUAUUUUUUGUGAUCAACACAGUGUUUAUGACUGAAAAGACAUAAUUAUUAAAAUCAAUAUGUAUAUAUCAAACUGAAUACAUUCAGUACUACUUACAAGUAAAAAUUGCUAUCUAGGUUACAUUCCCAAAAUAAAACAAUAAGUGGUGAAAUGGUGCAAUUGAUCUAUAAAAAUCUGAAGCAUUUUACCACCCGAGUUUCUAUUCCUCACAAAGUUAUAACUUAAUUAAAGCAACAUAUUUUAUUAUGUCCAUCUACAUGCUACUUUAGAUUAAAGAUUUUUUUUUUUUAAACUCUAGAAAUCAAAUUAAUGCAGAAUUAAAGGGGGAACAGGAAACCUUGUUGACUCAAACUUUCGAACCUCUCAAACCCAUGGUCCAGUAUCAGUGGGGUGUACCUGACCUUCAGUAUAUACUAUAAACCGGUGUUGAUUAUAAUUUUGUUACAUCACAUAUGUUUUUGAUUAACUGCUUUAUUUUCUUACGUCUAACUAAUUAAUACAUAAUAUAUCUCUCGUAAGGAUGAAUUGUUAUUAUUUGUUUGUAAAAGAUUUGAAAUUAUUUAUUGUUGUCAUAGUGUUUUUGUUACAACAGUCAUUCUUUGUUCAUUAUAACCUUGUAAGAUUGUAUUUAUUUGUAAUUUCAUUACUCUUAGUAUAGUAAAUUAUUAAUUUACUUGAUAGUUUGUGUAUCUCUUUUCAACCUUCUUUGGAGAUUUAAUUCUAAUUUUGAAUUAAAAAUUUUUAAACAGA